AGUGAACGCUGGCGGUAGGCCUAACACAUGCCAGUCGAACGGCAGCACAGUAAGAGCUUGCUCUUACGGGUGGCGAGUGGCGGACGGGUGAGGAAUACAUCGGAAUCUACUUUUUCGUGGGGGAUAACGUAGGGAAACUUACGCUAAUACCGCAUACGACCUACGGGUGAAAGCAGGGGAUCUUCGGACCUUGCGCGAUUGAAUGAGCGGAUGUCGGAUUAGCUAGUUGGCGGGGUAAAGGCCCACCAAGGCGACGAUCCGUAGCUGGUCUGAGAGGAUGAUCAGCCACACUGGAACUGAGACACGGUCCAGACUCCUACGGGAGGCAGCAGUGGGGAAUAUUGGACAAUGGGCGCAAGCCUGAUCCAGCCAUACCGCGUGGGUGAAGAAGGCCUUCGGGUUGUAAAGCCCUUUUGUUGGGAAAGAAAAGCAGCAGGUUAAUACCCCGCUGUUCUGACGGUACCCAAAGAAUAAGCACCGGCUAACUUCGUG
rnacentral:rRNA from 1 species